GAUGAACGCUGGCGGCGUGCCUAAUACAUGCCAGUCGAGCGAACAGACGAGGAGCUUGCUCCUCUGACGUUAGCGGCGGACGGGUGAGUAACACGUGGAUAACCUACCUAUAAGACUGGGAUAACUUCGGGAAACCGGAGCUAAUACCGGAUAAUAUAUUGAACCGCAUGGUUCAAUAGUGAAAGACGGUUUUGCUGUCACUUAUAGAUGGAUCCGCGCCGCAUUAGCUAGUUGGUAAGGUAACGGCUUACCAAGGCAACGAUGCGUAUACGAACUGAGAGGGUGAUAGGCCACACUGGAACUGAGACACGGUCCAGAGUCCUGCGGGAGGCAGCAGUAGGGAAUCGUACGCAAUGGGCGAAAGCUUGGCGGAGCAGCGCGGCGUGAGUGAUGAAGGUCUUCGGAUCGUAAAACUCUGUUAUUAGGGAAGAACAAAUGUGUAAGUAACUAUGCACGUCUUGACGGUACCUAAUCAGAAAGCCACGGCUAACUACGUG
rnacentral:rRNA from 1 species